rnacentral:rRNA from 1 species
UUAGGAGGGACCAUUAGGACCCAAUAGGGACAAACGGUGGUUCAUGACUCCGAGAGGUGAUGAGGUCCGGACUUGUCCGGGACACCCGGUGAUCCCAUGCUUCCAAGAAAAGCUGCGUGCAGAGCCCCUCUGGUGACCGUACCGCAAACCGACUCAGGUGGGCGGGGUGAGUAUCCCAAGGCGCGUGAGAGAACCCUGGCUAAGGAACUAGGCAAAAUAACACCGUAACUUCGGGAGAAGGUGUGCCGUUGAUGGUGAAGCCCUCCUCGGGCCGAGCUGUUGGCGGUUGCAGCGAAAUGGGGAUUGUGACUGUUUACUAAAAACAUAGGACUCUGCAAAGUCGAAAGACGACGUAUAGGGUCUGAUGCCUGCCCGGUGCUGGAAGGUAAGGGGAAGUGUCAGCGCAAGCGAAGCACCCAACCGAAGCCCCAGUAAACGGCGGCCGUAACGAUAACGGUCCUAAGGUAGCGAAAUUCCUUGUCGGGUAAGUUCCGACCUGCACGAAUGGCAUAACAACAUUCCCGCUGUCUCAACCAGGGACUCAGCGAAAUUGCAUAGGGGGUGAAGAUGCCCUCUACCCGCGGCAAGACGGGAAGACCCCAUGAACCUUUACUGCAACUUGGCAGUGAACUUCGGGAUGUUCUGCGUAGGAUAGGUGGGAGGCGUUGAAGCCGGGCUUCCGGGUUCGGCAGAGCCACCGUUGAAAUACCACCCUGAACAUUCUGGGGUUCUAACCUAGGCCCGUGAUCCGGGUCGGGGACACUGCCUGGUAGGCAGUUUGACUGGGGCGGUCGCCUCCAAAAUCGUAACGGAGGCGUGCGAAGGUUCCCUCAGCCUGAUUGGAAACCAGGCGUAGAGUGCAAACGCAUAAGGGAGCUUGACUGUGAGACCGACAGGUCGAGCAGGUGCGAAAGCAGGUGUUAGUGAUCCGGUGGUUCCUGAUGGAGGGGCCAUCGCUCAACGGAUAAAAGGUACUCUGGGAUAACAGGCUGAUCGCGCCUGAGAGUUCACAUCGGCGGCGCGGUUUGGCACCUCGAUGUUGGCUCAUCGCAUCCUGGGGCUGGAGCAGGUCCCAAGGGUUUGGCUGUUCGCCAAUUAAAGCGGUACGCGAGCUGGGUUUAGAACGUCGUGAGACAGUUCGGUCCCUAUCUGCCGUGGGCGUAGGACACUUGAGAGGAGUUGCCCAUAGUACGAGAGGACCUGGGUGAACGUACCCCUGGUGAUCCGGUUGUUCUGCCAAGAGCAUUGCCGGGUAGCUACGUACGGAACGGAUAACCGCUGAAAGCAUCUAAGCGGGAAGCCGGCCUCAAGACUAGGUGUCCCGUCGAAAGACCUAAAGGCUCCAUGUAGACCACGUGGUAAUAGGCUGGGUGUGAAAGCGUAGCAAUGCGCGGAGCUAACCAGUACUAAUAAGCCGUGAGGCUUGACC